rnacentral:rRNA from 1 species
AAACUUAAAUGAAUUGACGGGGACCCGCACAAGCGGUGGAUGAUGUGGAUUAAUUCGAUGCAACGCGAAAACCUUACCUACCCUUGACAUGCCUGGAACCCUGGAGAGAUCUGGGGGUGCCCGAAAGGGAGCCGGGACACAGGUGCUGCAUGGCUGUCGUCAGCUCGUGUCGUGAGAUGUUGGGUUAAGUCCCGCAACGAGCGCAACCCUUGUCACUAGUUGCUACGCGAGGGCACUCUAGUGAGACUGCCGGUGACAAACCGGAGGAAGGUGGGGAUGACGUCAAGUCCUCAUGGCCCUUAUGGGUAGGGCUUCACACGUCAUACAAUGGUCGGUACAGAGGGUUGCCAAGCCGCGAGGUGGAGCCAAUCCCAGAAAGCCGAUCGUAGUCCGGAUUGCAGUCUGCAACUCGACUGCAUGAAGUCGGAAUCGCUAGUAAUCGCGGAUCAGCAUGUCGCGGUGAAUACGUUCCCGGGUCUUGUACACACCGCCCGUCACACCAUGGGAGUGGGGUUCACCAGAAGUAGGUAGCCUAACCGCGAGGGGGGCGCUUACCACGGUGAGCUUCAUGACUGGGGUGAAGUCGUAACAAGGUAGCCGUAUCGGAAGGUGCGGCUGGAUCACCUCCUUUCUG